ACCAGCAGCCAUAUCACUCUGCAACUCACAACUGACAACCCACUGAAGCUAAGCAGGUGUGAGCCUGGUCAGUACCUGGAUAGGAGACCUCCCAGGAAAAACUAAGGUUGCUGCUGGAA
rnacentral:rRNA from 1 species